GGCGAGUGGAGAGGAAGAAAAAUAGAGACUGACUUCACAUUCUCCUCUACCUUGUCUGUUCUUCUUAUACCACAGCUGUCUGAAGAUCCGUCAUCACAGCCACUCAGUGUUAUGGUUAUCAUCAGCUUCCCCCUCAGGCUUUACUCAAGAUGCUGACCUGGCUGACCUGGCUACUAAGGUGCUAGGAUCUUCCCAGCUCCACAGUAAUCACACCCCUGAGUCAAUACAUGAUAGGAUCACCAUUGGCAGCGAUUACAGCUAUGAGUCUUUCUGGGUAAGUCUCUAAGAGCUUUGCAAACCUGGAUUUGCACAUUAUUCUUUAAAUAAUUCUUCAAGCUCUGUCAAUUUGGUUGUUGAUCAUUGCCAUUUCUAGACAGACAUUUUCAAGUAUUUCCAUAGAUUUUCACGCCGAUUUAAGUCAAAACUGUAUCUAAGCCACUCAGGAACAUUCAAUGUCGUCUUAGUAAGCAACUCCAGUGUAUUUUUGGCCUUGUGUUUUAGGUUAUUGUCCUGCUGAAAGGUGAAUUUGAACCAGGUUUCCUCUAGGACUUUGCCUGUUCUUAGCUAUAUUCUGUUUAUUUUUUGUUAAAAAAAACUCCCUAGUCCUGGCAGAUGACAAGCAUAGCCACAACAUGAUGCAGCCACCACCAAGCUUGAAAAUAUGAGGAGUGGGACUCAGUGUUGUGUUGUGUUGGAUUUGCUCCAAACAUAACACUCUGGAUUCAGGACAUGAAGUUCAUUUCUUUGCCACAAUUUUUUUCCAGUUUUACUUUAGUUCCUUAUUGUAAACAGGAUGCAAGUUUUGGAAUAUUUCUAUUCUUUACAGGCUUCCUUUUUUUCACUCUGUCAUUUAGAUUUGUAUUGUGGAGUAACUACAAUGUUAUUGAUCCAUCCUCAGUUCUCUCCUAUCACAGCCACUAAACUCUGUAACUGUUAUAAAGUCACCAUUGGCCUCAUGGUGAAAUCCCUGAGCGGCUUCCUUCCUCUCCGGCAACAGAGAUAGGAAGGACACCUGUGUCUUUGUAGAGACUGGGUGUGUUGAUACACCAUCCAAAGUGUAAACAACUUCACCAUGCUCCAAGGGAUAUUCAAUGUCUGCUUCUUUUUUUACCCAUUAGGUGCCCUUCUUUGCGAGGCGUUGGAAAACCUCCCACGUCUUUGUGGUUGAAUCGGUGUUUGAGAUUCACUGCUCGACUGAGGGACCUUACAGAUAAUUGUAUGUGUGAGGUACAGAGAUGAAGUUGUCAUUCUAAAUCAUGUUAAACACUAUUAUUGCACACAGAGUGAGUCCAUGCAACUUAUUAUGUGAAUUCUUAAGCACAUUUUAAAUCCUGAACUUGUUUAGACUUGCCAUAACAAGGGAGUUGAAUACUUAUUGACUCAAGACAUUUCCGUUUUUUUUAAUUGACUUUGUACAAAUUUCAAUAAAAAAAAUUCUACUUUGA